UACGGAGGGAGCUAGCGUUGUUCGGAAUUACUGGGCGUAAAGCGCACGUAGGCGGCGAUUCAAGUCAGAGGUGAAAGCCCGGGGCUCAACCCCGGAACUGCCUUUGAAACUAGAGUUGCUAGAAUCUUGGAGAGGUCAGUGGAAUUCCGAGUGUAGAGGUGAAAUUCGUAGAUAUUAGGAAGAACACCGGUGGCGAAGGCGGCAUCCUGGACCGAUAUUGACGCUGAUGCGCGAAAGCCAGGGGAG
rnacentral:rRNA from 1 species